GUAAAGCCUGUGGAGAGAGGUGAGAUAAAUGGGGCAUGGUGAGGAAAGGGACCCACGCUGAACUUCAUCAGAGACCGUGAUGAAGAGACAAAAGAAAAGAGAAUAGAACUUGCAGGAGCCAUCAUUUGCUUUAAAGGGGAUCAGAAGCACAUGCCAUGAGUCAAAGAAAAGGCGAUAAUGCUGACAGCAGCAAAACAGCACUUUCAUGGCAUUCCGCCUUAUUUGGAACCACACAAGUAGCUUUUUUUUUGUUAUGAAAAAAGGAAUUUGGCAAAACAACAAAAGUUAAAUUUCUAUUUUAAGCUGGUGCCGAGGAAUAACAAGACAAUGAGUCACAGCCAUCCACCUCUGUUGUCGUGACACUUCAAUCUAAGAAUGUUCUUCCUUCCUUCCAUCCUGUCUCUGUAAUGCAAAGCCACAGUGCUGCACUAUAUUGAUAUCCACCAGGAAACUUCAUGUGUUUAUUUUAUAAAAUCAAGGUGUCUCUGAUGUGUAACCAGGUUUGAGAACCAGAGGCCAGGGAAUCUUGAAGUGGAGGAGUACACUCACUUAUAGAAGUGAGGCCUGGAUCUUCUCUUUGAGCAACAUUCUAAAGAAGCAACCCUGCAAGAGACAGCGCAGGUGGCUGCCCAUGUAACUGGGCAUUGAGGUGGCCGAUCACUGCUCAUCUGCCUCUGGACUAUCGCCCUCUGCCUAGUGACACCCUUCCACAUCUUGGAUCUGCCGCCAACUGGGCUGGACUCAGGACAGCUCUACUCAGGAUUCAGCCUGCUGCCCAGAACUUGUUCACAUAGAUGCAUGUAACCAAUUCAUGAGGCUGUGGAUGGAAAGUCCAGAGCCACAAACAGAGACUCAUGGACAUGGACAAUAGACUCGUGGUAACCGUAGAGUCGCGGGGAGAGGGAAGCGGGUAGUAGAUGGGGUAAAAAGAGGUCAAAUAUGUGAUGACAGAAAGAAAUCUAACUAUGGGAGGUAAACACACAGUGUAAAUAUAUCUAUGCCUUACUGUUAAA